GAUGAACGCUGGCGGCGUGCUUAACACAUGCAAGUCGAACGGAAAGGCCCAAGCUUGCUUGGGUGCUCGAGUGGCGAACGGGUGAGUAACACGUGGGUGACCUGCCCUGCACUUUGGGGUAAGCUUGGGAAACUGGGCCUAAUACCGGAUAGGAUCAUCGUUUAGUGUGGGAGGUGGAAAGCUUUUCGGGGUGGGCUGAGGUCGCGGCCUAUGAGCUUGUUGGUGGGGGGAUGGGCUACCACGGAGUCGGCGGGGGGUCGGCCUCGGGGGGUGUACGGCGGACAUGGGGCCUACGUUAGGCCCAGGCUGCUAAGGGAGGCAGCAGUGGGGAAUAUUGCACAAUGGGCGCAAGGCUGGUGCAGCGACGCCGCGUGGGGGAUGACGGCCUUCGGGUUGAAAACUCGUUUCGGCAUGGACGAAGCGUUUUGUGACGGUACUUGGAGAAGAAGCACCGGCUAACUACGUG
rnacentral:rRNA from 1 species